GCUGAAGGUGCUAGCUGAAUUCUUUCUUUUGUUCUGAUAGUAUUAUUAGCUAGGGAGCUGGAAGCAAAGCAAUAGGGCUUAUGGUGAAAGGACGAUGAAAAAGCUGCUGGGAUAGAGAAGCUAAAGCUGGAUAAGGAUUCUCUUAAAAGAAGACAGGAGAUGGACUCGAUGCCAGGAACCAGACUCAAUGAUCCUUAUGGGUCCCUUCCAACUUUGGAAUUCCUAUUGCUGUGGAAUUUCAGUAGUCAGUGAUGUGCAAGCCCUGAAUACUCCGCGUUCUGAAAAAGGACAUCUGUGAUAAGAUGGAACUUGGCACCAGUAACUCAUGUACUAUGGGUGAAGCAUGCUCAGAAGAAGCAGACCCAGAGGGGAAGGGAAGAAGAAACAGAAUGAUAGAGGCAAAAUCAUGCAGAUAGCAGCUACCACUGUGGUAACCUGGCAGUGUCAGAAGUUGUCGAGAGGUGAAACUGCUGCAGCCUCCAAUGGUGAACCCUUCAGAGGACUGAGUUCCAAUCUGCCAGGUUGCUGCCCACCUCUGGGAAUGACAUUUUAGGAGACACGAAUGAUGUGAUUCCUUUCAGGGAACUGUCAGGCACAGAGGGCUAUUGUUUUGCUGCUUCUUCACUUUCCAGAUUGUGUGUUGGCUCUCAUGGAUGUUUUAAAAGCUUUGCUCAGCUCCUAUUGCUGUGGGGACAGUCUAUAAACAGCACAGCACAGAGUUUGUUACCAGUUCCCUUACCCAGAAGCUGGCCUGAUGGGACUUGUGGGUGUUAUGUGGGCGUGUAAAUAAAACAGGAGUUACCUGACCUGACUUUUAUUUAAUUCAAAGAGAAAUCAAUGGGGGGGCGGGGGGGGGGGAUAACAAAAUGGACUGGUCAAGUGGACUUUGAUCAAAAAGUAAAUCUGCUCACAUAAGUAUUGAUUAGCAACAUUGCUUCUAUCUCAAUUCUCUUUGCAAGUACAUGAAAUCCUACUGGUGUUAAAGGUGCCUGUGGUCCCUGAACUGUGAUAUUUCUGAAGUUUUAUACUGUCAAUUAAUGCUGGAAUCCUAGGCUAACAGGCUGAAUAAUGAAAAUAAGUAUCUGAUAUUAGAUGUCUUCUAAUUCCACAAAAAGACUCCUAAAGACUUAGAUUUUAGAGGUAUGUCUCUUAAGGAUCCUAUAGACUCAGCUCCCAGACACAAACUGUGCUUCCCUAAACUUGGAGAAACUGAAGAGCUGGUUACCAUCCCAUGCCUCGCAGUUGAUCUAGUCUGUAAACAUCCAUGGACCAAUAGAUGGGAUGCUCUGGGAUAAGGGGUGCAGAGCAAAACUUGCAGAUGAGAAUGAGGAUGAUGGUGGGCAGCCAGGAGGAUGCUCAGGCUCUGUGGUGACACCCGAAAACAACCAGAAUACACAAACUCUGUGUCUUCUGUCCAGACAGGGUUAACUUGCACUUGCAGCAGGCAGCCUCAUGCCAUUAAGUCAGGGAGAGUAAUGAAAUUUCAUUUAAUUUGUCAGGAAGAAAGUGCUAAUGUUAAAAGGCAUUUAAUAAAAAGGGGGAGAUUCUUUGAAAGGAAGCCUUUAAGUAAUUACUUCAAGUGUCUUAGGCCUACUCACCAGAAUAUUUACAUUAGUGUCUCCCAGCGCCAAAGUGUAAUUAAAUUAGUGCAGCAUUUACACUCCAUCCUGUUUUUUUUUUAUUUUUAGAAGUGUGAUUUUAUUAACAAUUCUAAAAAAAAAAAAAAAAAAAGGCAAGCCUUGAUCUAAUCAAUUCAGGUGUUAGUAUUUUUUUUAUGUUCUCACUGAAAAAACUACUGAGUACGCUGGCUUGGAGAAGGUGGAGUCAGGGGGGAAGAAAACUGCAUCUCAUUUCAAGUUCUACUUGGAGAAAUGCCAUUUCUUUGAUCUGCUCUGGGACUGAUGUCCCAUGUGGAAAGCCUAUAAAGAUGGCAUCAGAUGGAAGAAGGCAUAGCCCUGGGGAUUGCCUAUCACAUGGAGGUGAGCAGGGCUCAACACUGGGGGACAGGAAGCUGCAAAAUACUGGAAAAUAUCUGAUUUGCAUAUUUUGCUACUAAAAACUUUUUUUUUUUUUAAAUAUACAUAUGUAAUAUCCUUCCAGGGGAGCAUGACUUUUCCACCUUGACCUAAGUGGAAUAAGUUCUGUUUUUCAUAUCUUCAAUACAAAUGUGGCAUUUUAAAAGCAGAUGAGAGAGAGAGAGGGAGUAGAAAGUCACUAGAUAUAAAACACAUCUGUGCAAAUCAUUGUUCUGUGACAAAAAUGGCUCAGUUUGUUAUACACAGCCACAGAAUUACGAGUGCCAUUACCAACCAGAAGACACUGGAAGUAGAUAGAAAAAAAAAUAUUUUUUUUUUGGUAACAAAAAAAUAAUUUUUGAAUGUUGAAAUGUUUUGAUAAACCACACAAUUACAUUUAAAAGUUACCUCAGAAGUUAUUCUACAGUUGCAGGUCUCUUUGGUCAAAAGUUUAGCUCUGUGUUCCACCACAGAGUAACUAAUAUCUUCUGGUUGUUAAACUCAUCUGGGACCCUAUGAGGAAGAAAUUCAAGUCUCUGAAUGAAAUUAAGCAAAAUAGAGAUUUAAACACAGUUCCAUUUCUUCAUUGUCUAGAGAUAUGCUGGUAUUUGUUUUAUUUUGUGAAACUUUGGUAGUUAGAAAUGUAUUUUGAAUGAUGAUGACUAUGAAUAAACAAAGAAACAUUUUCCAGAGCUGCAUCAAAACAGUACCUAUACUUUUAUAUAAAAUCUGAAGCUAUCAUAACUGCUAUAGAGCUUUCACCUCGUAUACAGGAUCCUAAGAUUCAUGUCUCUGCUUUGUCUAUUUAUCAGUGGGGACUUCAAACAGGGUCUCUAGCAAAAUUAUAUGCAAGUGUCUAACAAAGUAUGUUUUUGUUUCCUUUGCUUGCAUUCAGA